GAAGGUCUGCCCAGAGAGAAGAAAGAAGUAUAUCACCGUGUAUGGGCACACUUCCCCAGGGUCGGAAAUUUCCAGGGUGCAAAGUGGAAAGCUGUGUCAUCAAGACCUUGUGACCUCCUGGGUGCUGUUUGAAAAUCAAAGUCACAAAGGCCAAAGGUCGUCUAACGCUCUACUUCCCACUGUUGCUGGGGCUGUUUUUAACCUCUGUCUCAUGUUGGUUCACUUCUUCAUGACCUCCCAGAGACUGUUGUUCACAGUUACCCUCUCACCCAGGGUGGGGCCGGUCACACCUGAGCUGCCUGGAAAUGAAGUUCAGGAGGAGGCAUACCUGGAGAGCCCAGCUAGAAGUAAUUAGAAAAUCGUCCUGCUGGGCAAGAAGAGUAACUAAGUCAUGGCCACAGCCUCGGAGAGGGCAGUAGAGAAGGAGAGGACAGUGGAGAAGCCAAAGGUGACCGCUGAGGUUACAGGGCAACAGUCCUCCUGCUUGAGAUGCCAGCCUGGAAGCUGAUAUUCCAGGAUGCUGCAAAAGGGCACUUCCUUUUCCCAUCUCGGAAGCCACCAGGGGCCUUCACACCUCCAGUACCAUCCAACUUUCCCAUCUGGUGUCUUUGAACACUGUGAGCAGCAGGAAAUAUCUAGUUAACCCUUGAGAACCGGAGCAUU